AACCAUGUUACUACCUUAACAGCUGCAGGGAUUCACUUAACAACUGUGGCAAGAAAGGCCGUAAAAAGAGGGAAAACUCACCCAACAAAUGUCUUGCUCAGCAACGGAAAUGUUGGGCUCAAUUGAGAUCUUAAGUCGAGGACACCUGCAAACAUCACUGCCA